UACGUAGGGGGCGAGCGUUGUCCGGAUUUAUUGGGCGUAAAGAGCUCGUAGGCGGUUGGGUAAGUCGGGUGUGAAAACUCAGGGCUCAACCCUGAGACGCCACUCGAUACUGCUCUGACUCGAGUCCGGUAGGGGAGCGUGGAAUUCCCGGUGUAGCGGUGAAAUGCGCAGAUAUCAGGAAGAACACCCGUGGCGAAGGCGGCUCUCUGGUACGUGACUGACGCUGAGACGCGAAAGCGUGGGGAGCAAACAGG
rnacentral:rRNA from 1 species